rnacentral:rRNA from 1 species
CGUGUAGGCGGGUCUUUAAGUCAGGGGUGAAAUCCUGGAGCUCAACUCCAGAACUGCCUUUGAUACUGAAGAUCUUGAGUUCGGGAGAGGUGAGUGGAACUGCGAGUGUAGAGGUGAAAUUCGUAGAUAUUCGCAAGAACACCAGUGGCGAAGGCGGCUCACUGGCCCGAUACUGACGCUGAGGCACGAAAGCUGGGGAGCAAACA